CUGCAUGCCACUCAAUUUAAUAUUAUUUAGUGUAAUUGAUCAUUUUACCACUAAAAUGUACAGUUAAUGACUGCUAUAUGUGGGGACUUUUCUGAGGACGUUUUUGUCUUGUACAGAUUAAGGCCCAGCUGGAAAUCGGUGUUUGUACUAAUCGACUAUCCUCACAGUCGAGCAAAUUCAUUUAAGGUUACAGGACACCCUUUUUGGCGUUUUGCGGAAAAUCGCUACUGCGCGCUCAAUAUCAGUCCAAUUUUAAUCAAAAUUUCACCAAAUAUUCGCCAGUGCAUGCUAAAUAUGGUAAAGUU